CCACUGGGGCAUACCUUAGUACGGCGAGUGAGCGGUAAAAGCUCAAAUUUGAAAUCUGGUACUUUCAGUGCCCGAGUUGUAAUUUGUAGAAUUUGUCUUUGAUUAGGUCCUUGUCUAUGUUCCUUGGAACAGGACGUCAUAGAGGGUGAGAAUCCCGUUUGGCGAGGAUACCUUUUCUCUGUAAGACUUUUUCGAAGAGUCGAGUUGUUUGGGAAUGCAGCUCAAAGUGGGUGGUAAAUUCCAUCUAAAGCUAAAUAUUGGCGAGAGACCGAUAGCGAACAAGUACAGUGAUGGAAAGAUGAAAAGAACUUUGAAAAGAGAGUGAAAAAGUACGUGAAAUUGUUGAAAGGGAAGGGCAUUUGAUCAGACAUGGUGUUUUUUGCAUGCACUCGCCUCUCGUGGGCUUGGGCCUCUCAAAAAUUUCACUGGGCCAACAUCAAUUCUGGCAGCAGGAUAAAUCAUUAAGAAUGUAGCUACUUCGGUAGUGUUAUAGCUUUUUGGAAUACUGUUAGCCGGGAUUGAGGACUGCGCUUCGGCAAGGAUGUUGGCAUAAUGGUUAAAUGCCGCCCGUCUUGAACCCACGGGACCA
rnacentral:rRNA from 1 species